CAGGAUGAUACCAGGGCCAAUAUGGAAAAGGGCAUAUUAUAAUCUAUAUGUAUUGUGACUCUUUUUGUGAUAUUUUAUGAUAUCAAUAAAAAGAUAAAUUGGAAACUUGUAACAAGUACCAGAAGAUGAGUUUUUAUAUGCCAGUCAAAAUUUUGACAGGAAAUAUUAUGGUAUACAAAUGUCCGGCUUUCUGGCGUUAACAUGUUGCACUGUAACUUGAGAACAACUUAUCCAAAUUUCAAUAAACAGAACUUAGUUGUUUCUUAUGAUGGUCAAAUGAUCUGUAUACUCUUUAGUGAAAAUAAGAUUAAGACUUUUUGAGUUUUGGGACUUUGUAACUAAAACAGGGGUGUGAUUUUUUCAUGUUGUGCCGUACCUCAAAAACGAUUUAUUACUAUUGCUUAAAACUUUACACACUUCCUAGUUAGGGCCCGCCUUUAGGCGGGUCGCCCUAUAGUGAUCAGUCUGUCCGUCCGUCCGUCCGUCCGUAACACUUUAACUUUGUGUCCGCUCCAUAUCUAGAGAACCAUUAUGAUUUCAUACUUUAUACUUUACAUGUUUAUUAACCACCACCAGAGGGUGUGUCAUGAUGUAUGUACAACUUCCUAGGUCAAAGGUCAAGGUAAAAAAACUUUGGUUUCAGUUGACAACCCUGUGUCCUGUGGUGAAGAUCGUGUCCGCUCUAUAUCUUGAGAACCGUUAUGAUUUCAAAGUUUAUACUUGACAUCCAUUUUAACCAACACCAGAGGGUGUGUCAUGAUGUAUGUACAACUUCCUAGGUCAAAGGUCAAGGUCAAAAACUUUGGUUUCAGUUGACAACCCCUUGUCCUGUGGUGAAGAUCGUGUCCGCUCCAUAUCUAGAUAACCGUUAUGAUUUUAUACUUAAUACUUAACAUGUUUAUUAACCAACACCAGAGGGUGUGUCAUGAUGUAUGUACAACUUUCUAGGUCAAAGGUCAAGGUCAAAAACUUUGGUUUCAGUUGACAACCCCGUGUCCUGUGGUGAAGAUCGUGUCCGCUCCAUAUUUAGAUAACCGUUAUGAUUUCAAAGUUUAUACUUGACAUCCAUUUUAACCACCACCAGAGGGCGUGUCAUGAUGUAUGUACAACUUCCUAGGUCAAAGGUCAAGGUAAAAAAAAACUUUGGUUUCAGUUGACAACCCCGUGUCCUGUGGUGAAGAUCGUGUCCUGAUAGAAAUAAUUUGCUUCUUUGUGUUAUAUUUUUCUUAAAGUAAAAUCCAUAUUUUUCAAAAAGUUGAAGCCCC
rnacentral:lncRNA from 1 species